CCAUAAAUGACUGAGUUUAAGUAUUAGAUUUUUAAUCUAAAGACGGCAUUAGAUGUAAUAUUGCCUUUGUGGU
rnacentral:tRNA from 1 species